rnacentral:tRNA from 1 species
GGGGUGGUAGCUCAGAUGGUAAGAGCCACGGACUCAUAAUCCGGGAGUCGCGGGUUCAAGUCCCGCCCACCCCAC